CUGGGAUGUGCGGUCAAGAAGACCCAUCCAAGGCUUGGCUCAUCUCUUCCUGAUUGACCUUAGGAAGACAGAUCACCUGUCUUGCAUCUGUACUGUUCUUCCACCAGCACCACGACAGGAUGUUCAUGGACAGAAGCCAUCUGCAUCCACCCAGCUGUGCGGCUGUGUGAGAUAUAUGUGGAGAUGCUGGUUGGAGCCAUUUGAUGGCAUUCAGCUUUGUGUGUCCCCCAAGGAGAAGAAAGAAUCCUCCAGCAGGUCUGGGUUGUGCUUCUGGCCGUACAACAUCUGUGGAGAAGAAGGAUGUCAUGUGGAAUUUACAACAGAUCCUAAUGGGAGAGUCUCCCUAUCGAUACCCAAGAUUGUGGAGAUGUACAGAAAUUAUGCACCCGCUGAAAGCCAAAUCUUGGCAUAGUCUUGGAACCUGAUUUCCCCUACCUGGCAUGUGCCAUCAGGUGGUAUGUUUGGGAGAGGUUGCUGUGUGUAACUCCUUUGGGCUGCGAAGCAGAAAACAGGACUGAAGGCCUGGGGAACUUAAUCCAGAACUCUGAGCACCAAUUGCAUGAAGAAACCACCUGGGAAGCAUUUGUGCUGCCCUUUCAAAAGGGUUAGCUUCCCUUCAAUUCAGCCAAGCCAGACACAACUCCUGAUGUCAGUUUCACGGCGAAGAUCUUGACAGGAGGACUUCAGCUCUCAGGUGAUAUGAAAAGCUGUGAUUUCCACUUCUGAUCAUUUCUCAUAUUCCUGAAGCCAUAGAUGAAGGCAGGAUGUAUACGGAUUUUGAACUACUUUACUUACAUCACCUGCUUUAUAACCAGCCUUACCUGAUUUGUUGGCAUCAGUGUAGAAGAAAGAAGAGGAGGAGAGGAGGAAGAGAUAGAGAAGAGGAGAAGAAGAAGAGGAGGAGGAGAAGGAGAAAAGGAAGAGGAGAAGGAGGAGGAGGAAAAGAGGAGAGGAGGAGAGGAGGAGGAGAAAUGACCCAAAUUCCCAAAUCCAAACACACAUUAAGAACUCACAUGCAGAUUUUAGACAUACAUAGACUGGUGGGAGUAGAAGCAGACACCCAUAACUAAUCACCGAACUGAACUGGAACCCAGAUGCAGAGAAGGACCAGUGAAGACCACAGAGGUCCAGACCAGGCUGGUGAAACCCACAGAAACAGCUGACCUGAUCAUCCGGGAACUCUUGCUCCCCAGUCUGAUAGCUGGAAUACCAGCAUGGGACUGAUCCAGACCCCAGGAACAUGGGUUUCUGUAAGGAAACCUCAGAAAUCUAUGGGACCUCCUGUAGAAGCCCAGUAUUUAUCCCUAGCAUAGGUGUGGACUUUGGGAGCCCAUUCCAUAUAGAGGAAUACUCCCUGAGCCAAGACACAUGGGUGUGGGCCUAGGCCCUAUCCCAAAGGAUACGAUAGACUCUGAUGACACUCUAUGGAAGGCCUCACCAUCCAAGGGGAGAAGAAAGGAUAUGUGACAGAUAAGGUUUUAGUUGGGGGGGGUGUUUGGAGAGGACGUGUGGGAGAAGGGAACUGGGAUUGUCAGGUAAGACAAUCCUGUUUCUAAUUCAAAUAAAAAAGUUAGGAAAAAAAAAAAAACCUCACAUUGACCCUUCUUU
ensembl:lncRNA